rnacentral:rRNA from 1 species
AUAACGACUCUCGGCAACGGAUAUCUCGGCUCUCGCAUCGAUGAAGAACGUAGCAAAAUGCGAUACUUGGUGUGAAUUGCAGAAUCCCGUGAACCAUCGAGUUUUUGAACGCAAGUUGCGCUCGAAGCCAUUAGGCUAAGGGCACGUCUGCCUGGGUGUCACGU